CCCUUAGAUGUUCUGGGUUGCACGCGCGCUACACUGAUGCGCUCAACGAGUUUUAACCUUGCCUGGAAAGGUUGGGUAAUCUUUUUAAAACGCAUCGUGAUGGGGAUAGAUUAUUGCAAUUAUUAAUCUUCAACGAGGAAUUCCUAGUAAGCGCGAGUCAUCAGCUCGUGCUGAAUACGUCCCUGCCCUUUGUACACACCGCCCGUCGCUCCUACCGAUUGAGUGGUCCGGUGAGGCUUUGGGAUCUGAGCGGAAAGAGCGUUUCGCUGUUUCUGCUCGGAAAACUCAGUCGAACCUUAUCAUUUAGAGGAAGGAGAAGUCGUAACA
rnacentral:rRNA from 1 species